ACUCCUCCUUCACCAUCUUUUGAAGAAUGCGCUCCCCAUCUUAAAUUAUUUUUAAUAGAUCAGUAUAGUAGAAAUAUCAAAAAAAGUUCUUCAACAAAAUAGGGCCUAAAGAAAAUAGUACGUAUUACACACACAACUCUCUGUGCUAUAUCAUCUUCAAAUCGUAAUGCCCUCAACUAGCAUAGAAGAAAAUCAUAAAUAAUCUAUUAAAAAAUUAUAGUAGAAAUAAGUAAAAG
rnacentral:lncRNA from 1 species